UGAGCUUGUAACCCAAGUGGGGGCUUUGAGGUAUUGGAACAUUGGCCCAGUAUUAGCUGGUCGGGUUCAGGUUGGCUAUCUUCUGGCCCGCCCAUUCCAAGCCAGGAGUUGAACCUUGUGGCUUGAGCGAAGGCUCUCGGUCACUGGGUUACUAGAGAGGAGGGCACUGCGUAAGGCUGGCUUCACAGAGCAACGACUACCUCCCGCUCUUGGCAGUGGAAGGAUAACGGGUCGGUGCCGCUUGGAUCCACCAUGGCCA
rnacentral:SRP_RNA from 1 species